GCAGCACGGGGGCAACCCUGGUGGCGAGUGGCGAACGGGUGAGUAACAUAUCGGAACGUGCCCUGGAGUGGGGGAUAACUAGUCGAAAGAUUAGCUAAUACCGCAUACGAUCUACGGAUGAAAGUGGGGGAUCGCAAGACCUCAUGCUCGUGGAGCGGCCGAUAUCUGAUUAGCUAGUUGGUGGGGUAAAGGCCUACCAAGGCAUCGAUCAGUAGCUGGUCUGAGAGGACGACCAGCCACACUGAGACUGAGACACGGCCCAGACUCCUACGGGAGGCAGCAGUGGGGAAUUUUGGACAAUGGGCGCAAGCCUGAUCCAGCAAUGCCGCGUGAGUGAAGAAGGCCUUCGGGUUGUAAAGCUCUUUUGUCAGGGAAGAAACGGUGGAGGUUAAUACCUUCUGCUAAUGACGGUACCUGAAGAAUAAGCACCGGCUAACUACGUGCCAGCAGCCGCGGUAAUACGUAGGGUGCAAGCGUUAAUCGGAAUUACUGGGCGUAAAGCGUGCGCAGGCGGUUGUGCAAGACAGAUGUGAAAUCCCCGGGCUCAACCUGGGAAUUGCAUUUGUGACUGUACGGCUAGAGUGUGUCAGAGGGGGGUAGAAUUCCACGUGUAGCAGUGAAAUGCGUAGAGAUGUGGAGGAAUACCGAUGGCGAAGGCAGCCCCCUGGGAUAACACUGACGCUCAUGCACGAAAGCGUGGGGAGCAAACAGGAUUAGAUACCCUGGUAGUCCACGCCCUAAACGAUGUCUACUAGUUGUCGGGUCUUUAUUGACUUGGUAACGCAGCUAACGCGUGAAGUAGACCGCCUGGGGAGUACGGUCGCAAGAUUAAAACUCAAAGGAAUUGACGGGGACCCGCACAAGCGGUGGAUGAUGUGGAUUAAUUCGAUGCAACGCGAAAAACCUUACCUACCCUUGAC
rnacentral:rRNA from 1 species